rnacentral:rRNA from 1 species
CCAAAAACGGAGUAAUAUCCUUUUUAGAAAAGUUCCUACUAAACUUGAUAGGUGAAUUUAUUAUAUGUUUCUAAGGAUUUAUGGAAAUUUAAGUGAGCCCAGUCUAAAACAUUAAAAAAUUAUAUAACUAUAAAUUUAGUAAAACUUAAAUGUUAGGGUAAACAUCGGUGCCAGCAACCGCGGUCAAACCUCGCUAACAGGUAACUUAGGGAAAAUUUUAUCUACACAUAAGUUUUCUACGACGCGGCUAACAGUGAAAUGCAGCCACACUUAAAAUUUAACAAAUUUUUUUUGCUUAAGAAAAAUAAGUUAAAAAACUAGGAUUAGAUACCCUAUUAUUCUUAUAUUAAAAGGUAAAUUUGAGGAGUAGAACUACUAUAAACUCAAAAGUCAUGGCGGCUGUUGAAACUAAUCAGGGGAGCUUACCAAGUAAUUGACAACCACCAAGAAAUCUUUUCUUUAAUUUAAAGUUUGUAUGCCGUCGUCAAAAAUUUUUCUAAGGAAAAAUUUUUCUUUAAAAUAGUUUUACUAAAGACAGAUCAAGGUGCAACUAAUACUAAUGAUUAGGCGAGCUACAAUAAUGUUAUAUUACCGGAUGCAGACUUUAAAAAGCUAGCUAAAGUUGGACUUGAAAGUAAUCUUUAAAUAAAAAUUAAGUACUGAAUACUAUAUUUAACAGUGC